GUUCCUGUGGCCAAAUUGGUAAAGGCGUCCGAUUGAGGAUCAGAUUUCAUCUAAUAGAUAUGUGGGUUCGAUUCCCACCAGGAACU
rnacentral:tRNA from 1 species